CCAAAAUUAAAUUAUCCUAGGUAAAAGACCUUCCUAACCAUUAGGGCACAAACACCCUAAUUUCUCCAUUGUUCUUCCUAUUUCUUCUCUUUCUCUUCUUCGAAGGCACAAACACUGAGACUUCAGCACCUCCAUUUUUUCAGUCGACGAUCCUCAACAAAGGCUGAGACCUCAGCAGCGUAGGUUUUCAGUCAAGGGUUUCCUAUUUUUGCAAAGGGGUUUUGUUCUCAGAGAAUUCUGAAACUCGAAGUCGUGCGUUGAUUUUAAGGAUUGCAUGUCCUUGAUAAGGAACAUGGACAAUCUAGAGCGUGAUUGGAUGUACAAAAGGUUGGAUGGCCGAGAGGGUAUUAAUUCAAGUUUUAUAACUGGUGUGAACAAGUUUCUCCAGUUUGCUUGUUCUCAGCGCAAUCGCAUGAGUGGUGACAAUGUUAGUUGUCCAUGUAAAAAAUGUCACAACAUUAAAUACAUGGAUGUUGAAACUGUUAAAUUGCACCUUUAUCGGUAUGGAUUUGUUGAGAACUAUUUUCUUUGGAAGUAUCAAGGAGAAAAAGAUGUGACCGGUGAGAUGUCUUCUAGUUGUGAUUUGCAUGGUGGCGCUCAACCUGAAUUGGGAUAUGAGAAUCCAUAUCGACAAAUGGUCUUGGAUGCAGCUGGACCCAAUUUUGGCCAUGGUUUGAGCUGGCAUUCUUAUAAUAAUAUUGAACCUAAGUCGUCUCAUUCUUAUGAACCUUCAAUGGAGGCAGAGCCUAAUCCUUCAAUGGAGGCGGAGCCUAAUCCUUCAAUGGAGGAGGAGCCAAAUCUUGAGUGCCAAAGGUUUUAUGAUUUGCUACAGGCCACUGAUGCAAAAUUAUACCCUGGUUCUUCCCUCUCUCAACUCGCAGUGGUUUCCGGGAUGUUAAAUAUUAAAAUGGAGAAUACUUUAUCACAAAGAGGUUAUAACCAAAUGAUGCAAUUGUUGAAAGAGGCUUUACUAGAAGAUAACACAAUGCUUGAUAACUAUUACGAGACCAAGAAGCUAGUGCGUAGCUUGGGUUUGCCAGUUGAAAAGAUUGAUUGUUGUAAUUUUGGAUGUAUGUUGUAUUGGGGUGAAGAUGAGGACCUCACAUCUUGCAAGUUUUGUGGCCACUAGAGGUACAAACGUCAUUUCGGUUCUCGUAAGAGGAAAUUAAUCCCUUACAAAACAAUGUAUUAUUUUCCUUUGAUUCCUAGAUUACAGAGAUUAUAUGCAUCUCAUGCUACAACCACUGAUAUGAGAUGGCAUCAUGAGCACAAACAAGAGGAUGGAGUAAUGCGUCAUCCAUCAGACUCUGAGGCUUGGAAGCAUUUCAAUGAAACUCAUCCUUUUUUUGCUGCUGAACCAAGAAAUGUGAGGUUGGGAUUAUGUACUGAUGGUUUUCAACCCUUUGGUCAUUCAGGGAGGAAAUACUCAUCAUGGUCAGUGAUUGUCACUCCAUACAAUUUGCCUCCAGGGAUGUGUAUGAAAGAGGCGUACAUAUUCUUAACUGUCAUUAUUCCAGGGCCAAACAACCCUAAACAAAAAUUGAUGUUUAUCUACAACCUUUAAUAAAGGAAUUGACCUGGUUGUCGGAGACGGGUGUAGAAGCAUUUGACAUCUCAAAAAAACAAAAUUUUCAAUUAAGGGCCGCUUUGAUGUGGACAAUCAAUGACUUUCCAGCAUAUUCUAUGUUAUCUGGAUGGAGUAUUGUCGGUAACUUAGCAUGUCCUUAUUUUAUGGAGGAAGCACAAUCCUUCAGAUUAUGUCAUGGUGGGAAAACAACUUGGUUUGACAGUCAUAGAAUGUUUCUUGACCAAAAUAUCCGUUUAGGAGAGAUCGUAAAAUCUUUCAUAAAGGUCAGACUGUUAGAAGGCUACCACCACCCCUUAGGACAGGAGAGGAAAUCUUGAACCAAAUUUGUGAGUUGGGACUGAGAAAAGUAACUGAGCUAGAUGCAGAAGAAGUUAAUGGGAGAAUUUAUAGGUGUUGUGGAUGGAAAAAGAGAAGCAUUUUUUGGGAUUUGCCUUAUUGGAGCUCUAACAUGAUCCGCCAUAAUCUCGAUGUUAUGCAUAUUGAGAAGAACGUCUUUGAUAAUGUAUUUAACACAGUUCUUAAUGUUGAUGGCAAAACAAAAGACAAUCCAAAGGCACGUGAAGAUAUGGUAAACUACUACGAUCGACCGUAAUUGGAAAAGAAUCCUAUUGAUGGAAGCUAUCCCAAAGCUGCAUAUACAAUAGAGAAGAAUCAAAAAAUUGCCUUGUUCAAUUGGUUGGAAAAUGUGAAGUUUCCAAAUGGGUAUGUUUCGAAUUUGAGUCGGAGCCUAGACACAGACAAGUAUAAAUUAUUUGGUAUGAAAAGUCAUGAUUGCCAUGUGUUCAUGCAACGAUUAAUGCCUAUUGCCUUUCUGAGCUAUUUCCUAGUAACGUGUGGCAAGCACUUACGGAAUUGAGCUUAUUUUUUAAGGAUCUCACCUCGAUUGUUCUUCGAGUGGUGGACAUGGAGAGAUUAGAGGCAGGCAUCCCACAGAUCUUGUAUAAGUUGGAGUGUAUAUUUCCUCCUAGAUUCUUUAACUCAAUGGAACAUGUGCAUGUACACCUACCAUAUGAAGCAAGGAUUGUUGAACCUGUACAAUAUCGAUAGAUGUAUCCUUUUGAGAGGUUAUGACCUUUUUAUGCUCUUAUUAUGACAAAUAUGAUACACAUGACUUUAUAAAUUUAAUGGUCUAUCCAUUUACUUGUAUAGGUACCUUCAAACUCUUAAAAAAUGAUAGGGAAUAAAGCUAGUGUCGAGGGUUCAAUUUGCGAAGCAUACUUGAUGAUGGAAUCAACACAAUUGUUUUUUCAUUAUUUUGAACCUCAUGUCAUGACACGUAAUCAUAAUGUGGCCCUUAAUGAUGAUGGUGGUGUUAUGGAAGAUCUUGAAGGAAAUUUAUCAAUAUUCACCCAUCCAGGCCGACUAUGGAGAGAAGGAAAAAAGAGAAGUUUGUCCCUCGAAGAAAUCAAGGCAGCCCAAACUUAUAUUCUACUAAAUUGUGUAGAGGUUGAGUCGUUUGUAAGUAUGUACAUACAACGGUUGCAAGAAGAAUUCUCCAACCUAUCUCAGGAUCAAAUAAAUGAGAGUCUCGAAAUGUGUUUUGCUAUAUGGUUCAAAGAAUAUGUAAGACUAUAAAAAUCAUUAUCUUUUAAGAAAUUAUGUACUUAAAUUGGCUUGUUAUAUUUAACCAAGUCUUAUAAAUUAUUUGAAAUAGGUUCGAUGCAACCACGUUGAGAACCAAUUCUUGUGUAGUCUUGUUCAUGGACCAUUAAUAAGCGCAAAAUGUUAUCCGGUGUAUUUUGUUAAUGGAUAUAAAUUUCACACGGAAUGUCAUGGUAGUGCAAGAUCAACAAUUAAUAUUGGAGUUUGUAUCUCGGAUCCAAUGUUGGUGACUAUUAUGGACGGAUACAAGAGAUUAUACAACUGGAAUACCACGAAGAACCUUUAAAGCAAAUUGUAUUAUUCAAGUGUGAAUGGUUUGAUCCAACUGUGAAUGUUGGUGUCAAAGAGCAUAACCAAUACAAACUAGUCGAUGUGAACCAUCAUCGUCAUUUUAACAAGUACGAACCUUUUAUUCUUGCGAUGCAAGCAACUCAAGUGUGUUAUGUGCCUUAUCCUAGCACGAAAAAGGACAAGGAUGAUUGGGUAGCUAUUUUGAAAGUUAAACCUCGGGAUGUUAUAGAACUUCCUGAUGAGGCAAUAACAUCAACUCUAGAACCAACUCUUCCAUUCCAAGUUGAAGAAGUUGAAGUCCAUUUGAUAGAUAUGAAUUUCACCACUGAUGAGAUAUAAUCUUACAUGAUCCAAAUGGGGAUAUAAUUGAAAUGGUUGAACCCAUUAAUGAUGGACUAUUGAUAGAGAAUCAAGAGUUCGAAGAAGAAUCUUCAGAAGACGAGUAUGAAACUGAGGAUGAAAAUGAGGAGGAUGAUGAGGAAGAGUUUGAAGAAGAAACAGAUGAUGACUAGUGUGUUGAUAAUGCACUACUAUAUUUUUAUUGAAUUUUGGUUUUUUAGUAAUCUGUGUGGUAUGUUAUAAGUCAUAUAUCUAUUUUGUAGUAUAAUCUAUAGAGAAUCGAAUUGAAUACCACGUUUGUAGUAAUAUAAAUGGUAUAGUACUCUUCUAGCUUACAUUGUGUUGUGAAUCGAAUACCACGUUUGUAGCAUGUAUUUUUCUACUUUGUGUUGCUUCAAUAUUGAAUUUUUUUGAUGAAUCUACCUUUGUUUCUUUGCUGCUAAAAUGAGAUAAAGAAGCAAGCUCAUUAACAGAAUCAGCAAUUUCUUCGACACAAAUGACGAUAUCGGUUAGUAUUGAUGCAACUACAGCCACUAGUAUGACUUCUAGUAAGUUAAUAUCUUCCCAGAAACCUAAUAUGAGAAGUGAUUUCAGGUUCUUGGCUGCUGUUUUGGCGUUUGAGACAUGUUUAUUAGCUGACAAGGGAGAAGUCAUUGUUUUUAUAGAAUGUGCUAGUUCUUUUAGUGCUUUCCCAGAUUCUAUGCUCAUUUUUAUUGUUGUUUCCUUGAUCAUUCCCUUGAUCUCUUCAGGUGCCUGCAAUGGAGUCACCAUGUAUCUCUCUGCAUUUUGUUGAAUUUUAUAAGCUUUCAUACUAGCUUAGCUUCUGUAACUUAGCUUCUGCUUGUUUGAAUUUUCAGUAAGUUAGCUUCUGUAACUUAGCUUCUGCUUGUUUGAAUUUUAUAAGCUUUCAUACCAGCUUAGCUUCUGCUUGCUUGAAUUUUCUAUAACUUAGCUUCUGCUUGUUUGAAUUUUAUAAGCUUUCAUACUAGCUUAGCUUCUGCUUGCUUGAAUUUUCUGUAACUUAGAUUCUGCUUGUUUGAAUUUUCAGAGACUAUACUACUCAGGUUAAGUUGGAGCAGCCCAUUGCAGCCCAAGAAAAGGAGCAAUUGGAAAUAUGCCUCGAGGUAGAGGUCGAGGUAGUGCAGGCCGUGUAGGUAAAUCUUCAGUUAGGGGUAAUUUUUCUACUCGUGAAAAUAUGCCUACUGUUCCCAUUCCCACAAUCAAUCCUCAACAAGGUGGUACGAGUUCCUCAGAUGGACCGGAUCACAUCAAUCAAGUUCAAACAUUAGGUCCUAGUAGUAUGCCACCUACUCAAACAUCAGGCCAUGGUAGUACCCCAACUAUUAAUUUGGAACCAUCUCCAAAUACCCCUAAUCAGAGCAACACAAUUGGUUAGGAUACAUCUUCUCAAAGCAACAUAAUAGGCGAAACUGAGUGUAGCAGUACCCACCGACUGCGAACGCUUCUUACUAUUUCUCCUACAGGGUUAGAGCCUUCAUAUGAAUGUUCUGAGUUUAUAACUACGUCUUUCAAGAAUGAACUUGAUCCUAAUGGAUUCAACUAGAAAAAUCAAAUGAGUUAAAAAUAAUUAUUUUGGAGAAUUCAAGAAGGCUUUCUACUGGGAUUCUUCAAUUGAUAGUGCGGUGCAGAUCCAAUGGGAGCGUAGGGUAGCAAGAAUAUACAGUGAUUUUGUUAACAAACUAAAAGCAAAUAUGGUUCAACCGGACACUAUUCCAAAUAAUGUGUGGGAAAGUUGGUCGAGACUUUGGAAACAUCCUAAGUGUGUUGAAAAGUCAGAAAUAAAUGCAAAAAAUCAUUGUGGUGGGAGCGAAAUUGCCACUGGGACUCAUACAUGUGGCUCUAUCAGUGUUGGGGAGCAUCGCAAGAGACUUGCUGUUAAAAAGGGUCGAGAUCCAACACCAAAUGAGUUGCAUUUGCACGUCCAUACACAUGGUAAUGAUGGAAAAUCUUUUGUUACUGAGAAAUCACGAAUCGUACAUGAAAAAUAUCAGGAGAUAUUACAAUAACAAACACAAACUCAAUCUGAUAUUGAUCAGUGUAAAGCAUAUUAUCAAGCCGCGGGAGGAGAAAAGAAAAAAAGAGUAUAUGGUCUUGGAUCGCAAGCAAAAUGCUUCUACGGGCCAAAUCUUCAUGGCUCUCGUGGAUCUGAUGCUACAUCGUCAACAACACCUCCAAAUUCUCAAUCAACACCGACAGGAAAUCUGGAUGAGUUAGUGAUGCGAUUGAUUCCUGCACUGACAGAUCAUAUAGUUCCUGUAAUCGUUGAGCGGGUACGCGAAUUAGUUUCCUUACCCUCGCAUCAGCCAAAUACUGAUAUGGAAACUACAGUUCCAACAUCUUCUACUGCUGCUAACAUUGAUGAGCUUCACGCAUUGGGUUCUGAUGAUGACUGUAACUCUCCAGCCCAACGUAGUUAGCUUACUUUGUUUGGACAUUAUUGUUCGUCCUUGUGGAUUUUUUGUACUUAAUGAUACUGUUAUAUGCAUUAUGCUAUAUAUUUUGGACCUUGGAAUUUAUAUUAAUAUCAGUGACUUUUUAUUAAGUGUA